rnacentral:rRNA from 1 species
UACGUAGGGUCCGAGCGUUGUCCGGAAUUACUGGGCGUAAAGAGCUCGUAGGUGGUUUGUCGCGUUGUUCGUGAAAACCCGGGGCUCAACCCCGGGCCUGCAUUCGAUACGGGCAGACUAGAGUUCGGUAGGGGAGUCUGGAAUUCCUGGUGUAGCGGUGAAAUGGCGGCAGAGUAUCAGGAGGAACACCGGUGGCGAAGGCGGGACUCUGGGCCGAUACUGACGCUGAGGAGCGAAAGCGUGGGGAGCAA